rnacentral:lncRNA from 1 species
CAUGAUGAUAUGCAUGAUGAUGAUGAUGAUGAUGAUGAUGAUGAUAUGUGAUGUGAAAUAAUGAUGAUCACCCAUGAUAUGAUAUGCAUGAUGAUGAUGAUGAUGAUGUGAUGAUGAUGAUGAUGAUGAUGAUGAUAUGUGAUGUGAAAUAAUGAUGAUCACCCAUGAUAUGAUAUGCAUGAUGAUGAUGAUAUGUGAUGUGAAAUAAUGAUGAUCACCCAUGAUAUGAUAUGCAUGAUGAUGAUGAUGAUGAUAUGUGAUGUGAAAUAAUGAUGAUCAUCCAUGAUAUGAUAUGCAUGAUGAUAUGCAUAGUGAUGAUAAUGAUAAUGAUAUAUGAUAUGACAUGUGUAAUGCGAUGAUGUCAUGAUGAUGAUGACAUGUAUGAUGUAAUGAUGCCAUGAUGAUGAUGACAUGUGUAAUGUGAUGAUGUCAUGAUGAUGAUGACAUGUAUGAUACGAUGAUGAUACACAUGUAUGUGUUAUAAAUUGAUAUGAUGAUGCAUGAUAGUAUGCGCAUGGCUUCAAGGUAAGUAAU